GACGAACGCUGGCGGCGUGCUUAACACAUGCAAGUCGAACGGAAAGGCCCUGCUUUUGUGGGGUGCUCGAGUGGCGAACGGGUGAGUAACACGUGAGUAACCUGCCCUUGACUUUGGGAUAACUUCAGGAAACUGGGGCUAAUACCGGAUAGGAGCUCCUGCUGCAUGGUGGGGGUUGGAAAGUUUCGGCGGUUGGGGAUGGACUCGCGGCUUAUCAGCUUGUUGGUGGGGUAGUGGCUUACCAAGGCUUUGACGGGUAGCCGGCCUGAGAGGGUGACCGGCCACAUUGGGACUGAGAUACGGCCCAGACUCCUACGGGAGGCAGCAGUGGGGAAUAUUGCUCAAUGGGCGGAAGCCUGAUGCAGCAACGCCGCGUGCGGGAUGACGGCCUUCGGGUUGUAAACCGCUUUCGCCUGUGACGAAGCGUGAGUGACGGUAAUGGGUAAAGAAGCACCAGCUAACUACGUG
rnacentral:rRNA from 1 species